GGUAAGGUGGCUGAGAUUUAGGCGUUAGACUGUAAAUCUAAAAACAAGAGUGCUUUCUUAUCA
rnacentral:tRNA from 1 species